rnacentral:rRNA from 1 species
GACGAACGCUGGCGGCGUGCUUAACACAUGCAAGUCGAACGAAGUGGCGAACGGGUGAGUAACGCGUAAUCAACCUGCCCUUCAGAGGGGGAAAACAGUUGGAAACGACUGAUAAUACCACAUACUGAAGGAGGGGAUUGCGUCGGAUGGGCGAGUUGGAGGGGUAAAGGCCGACCAAGGCGAUGAUCAGUGGCCGGUGUGAGAGGACGACCGGCCACAUUGGGACUGAGACGCGGCCCAGACGCCUACGGGAGGCAGCAGUGGGGAAUCUUCCGCAAUGGACGAAAGUCUGACGGAGCAACGCCGCGUGAUGGAUGACGGCCUUCGGGUUGUAAAGCUCUGUUAAUCGGGACGCGGUACCGGAAUAGAAAGCCACGGCUAACUACGUGCCAGCAGCCGCGGUAAUUC